rnacentral:tRNA from 2 species
GCACCCGUAGCUCAGCUGGAUAGAGCGCUGCCCUCCGAAGGCACGUGUCAAGCCGGUUGGUGCG